UACGAAGGGGGCUAGCGUUGCUCGGAAUCACUGGGCGUAAAGGGUGCGUAGGCGGCUUUCUAAGUCAGGGGUGAAAUCCUGGAGCUCAACUCCAGAACUGCCUUUGAUACUGGAGAGCUUGAGUCCGGAAGAGGUGAGUGGAACUCCGAGUGUAGAGGUGAAAUUCGUAGAUAUUCGGAAGAACACCAGUGGCGAAGGCGGCUCACUGGUCCGGUACUGACGCUGAUGUGCGAAAGCGUGGGGGAGCAAACAGG
rnacentral:rRNA from 1 species